GCGGAUAUGGCGGAACUGGCAGACGCGCAUGGUUCAGGUCCAUGUGCCCGCAAGGGCGUGGAGGUUCGACUCCUCUUAUCCGCACCA
rnacentral:tRNA from 1 species